rnacentral:rRNA from 1 species
GGACAGAAGGGAGCUUGCUCCCGGAUGUUAGCGGCGGACGGGUGAGUAACACGUGGGUAACCUGCCUGUAAGACUGGGAUAACUCCGGGAAACCGGAGCUAAUACCGGAUAGUUCCUUGAACCGCAUGGUUCAAGGAUGAAAGACGGUUUCGGCUGUCACUUACAGAUGGACCCGCGGCGCAUUAGCUAGUUGGUGAGGUAACGGCUCACCAAGGCGACGAUGCGUAGCCGACCUGAGAGGGUGAUCGGCCACACUGGGACUGAGACACGGCCCAGACUCCUACGGGAGGCAGCAGUAGGGAAUCUUCCGCAAUGGACGAAAGUCUGACGGAGCAACGCCGCGUGAGUGAUGAAGGUUUUCGGAUCGUAAAGCUCUGUUGUUAGGGAAGAACAAGUGCAAGAGUAACUGCUUGCACCUUGACGGUACCUAACCAGAAAGCCACGGCUAACUACGUGCCAGCAGCCGCGGUAAUACGUAGGUGGCAAGCGUUGUCCGGAAUUAUUGGGCGUAAAGGGCUCGCAGGCGGUUUCUUAAGUCUGAUGUGAAAGCCCCCGGCUCAACCGGGGAGGGUCAUUGGAAACUGGGAAACUUGAGUGCAGAAGAGGAGAGUGGAAUUCCACGUGUAGCGGCGAAAUGCGUAGAGAUGUGGAGGAACACCAGUGGCGAAGGCGACUCUCUGGUCUGUAACUGACGCUGAGGAGCGAAAGCGUGGGGAGCGAACAGGAUUAGAUACCCUGGUAGUCCACGCCGUAAACGAUGAGUGCUAAGUGUUAGGGGGUUUCCGCCCCUUAGUGCUGCAGCUAACGCAUUAAGCACUCCGCCUGGGGGAGUACGGUCGCAAGACUGAAACUCAAAGGAAUUGACGGGGGCCCGCACAAGCGGUGGAGCAUGUGGCUUAAUUCGAA